AGCAAAGAUUUCCUGAAAAAAAAUCAAGUUGAUUUAUGCUUGCAAAUGUUUAGAGGAUUACAUGACAAUCCUUCCUAGUAUUAUAUGUGUACUAAGGAAUCAAAAAUUCCUUAAGUCUUCGUCAAUUUUACAUUUAAAAUUAGCCUUAUUUUACAAGAAUGUCCGAAUUUUUGUUCUGCUCCUGGGGAUUACAUCUUUGAAAUUGUAACCUUUUCUCAGGUCAGAUUUGUUAUUUUAUCUGCUUCAUUCAAAACUUCGCUUUUAAAAAGCCUCCAACUGACUUCAGAAAACCCUAUUUAAUACAUAACUGCUGAUAGACUAACAACUUAUGCAUUAUUUAUUAUGUAAAUCCUUAUUACAUACUAGCCUUAACAUUCUAUCUUUGUGGGUGUAUGUAGGUACUUCAUAAAGCAUUAGCAUUCCCUCUGUAUUUUAUUUUAUUUAUGACAAAUAAAAGUGCUUUCUAAAGAAAAAUAUCCCAUGGUUUAGUGAUGUGAGCACCGAAAUUAUGCAGGAUCAAGAAUCUCAAUCCAAUGGAUUCAACAGUAGCCUGCCAAAAUACUUCUGAACUUUUCACUCACACUGGGAUUUAGCUGCUCUUUGCUUCCAUUCUGUAAAGGAGGAUGACUUGGCUAGAUGUAACUUAGGAACUUCUUGUAUAAGCCAAUCUUUCUUUUGUCAGGCAAUUCAGUGAAAAAAUAAAAUAAAUCAUAACCUGCUAGAAUGUCGUACUCUAUUUUUUCUGCAUCUGUCUGUUCUGACAAUGCAGUUUGCUGCAGAUAAAUGUGAAACACAGCAUUUCUCUUCUGCCAGCAAAUCUUGGGCAUUUGUACCAGCUUCAUUACUGAGGUUAAGCAAACAUCUCUCUGCCUUUCAUAAGUACCCAGACCACUGCCUUUUUGUAAUAUCUUUUUCUGCUCUUGGGAGGCAUUCACUGCUUGAGUACUAAAAUGACAAAAAUUUGCAACGGGCAAAGCUAAUGAAAGUUAUGACUUUUUAAAGAAGUAAUUUUUCCUGUCUAUCGCUUGCAGUGAAACCUUUCUAUCAUGAAGAAAACAUCUUGGGGAUAAUUCCAGCUUCAUAAGAGACAUGAUGUAAUUGCAGCAAAGGCAAGGACUGCUGGUUUGUGUCACCCUCCCUCCCCCCGGAGGGAUGUUCAGGCUGUGCCACUCAAUGGAGUGCCCUGGUGUGCCAGCCGCCAUGCCACCAUCUGACCAGAUUUUGUGUUUGCUGAAGUAACAAUACCUUAUACUGCUCUCACAGUUGGGCACUGUUGCCAUGGUAACAGAAAAACAUGGUGGCAAAACAUCAGCUACAUAAACAAAAGCUCUAAUAAUAACUCAGGAACUAUUUACCUUGUUAUCUUCAGUAUUUAGUGCAACACAAAACUGGAAUAAGACAGAGCAGAAAGGCUUCAGUUGGCUAACAGAGCAAUUAAGCCAAAAGAUAAAAGUGCUUACCACAGUGAUUAAACACAGAAGAUGCAGCAUCCUAAGAGCAGCAGACCACCAAAAUCAACAACUCCAGGCCUCAAAAGGAGUCACAAA